rnacentral:rRNA from 1 species
ACGCUGGCGGCAGGCCUAACACAUGCAAGUCGAGCGGUAGAGAGAAGCUUGCUUCUCUUGAGAGCGGCGGACGGGUGAGUAAUGCCUAGGAAUCUGCCUGGUAGUGGGGGAUAACGUUCGGAAACGGACGCUAAUACCGCAUACGUCCUACGGGAGAAAGCAGGGGACCUUCGGGCCUUGCGCUAUCAGAUGAGCCUAGGUCGGAUUAGCUAGUUGGUGGGGUAAUGGCUCACCAAGGCGACGAUCCGUAACUGGUCUGAGAGGAUGAUCAGUCACACUGGAACUGAGACACGGUCCAGACUCCUACGGGAGGCAGCAGUGGGGAAUAUUGGACAAUGGGCGAAAGCCUGAUCCAGCCAUGCCGCGUGUGUGAAGAAGGUCUUCGGGUUGUAAAGCACUUUAAGUUGGGAGGAAGGGCAGUAAAUUAAUACUUUGCUGUUUUGACGUUACCGACAGAAUAAGCACCGGCUAACUCUGUGCCAGCAGCCGCGGUAAUACAGAGGGUGCAAGCGUUAAUCGGAGUUACUGGGCGUAAAGCGCGCGUAGGUGGUUCGUUAAGUUGGAUGUGAAAUCCCCGGGCUCAACCUGGGAACUGCAUUCAAAACUGACGAGCUAGAGUAUGGUAGAGGGUGGUGGAAUUUCCUGUGUAGCGGUGAAAUGCGUAGAUAUAGGAAGGAACACCAGUGGCGAAGGCGACCACCUGGACUGAUACUGACACUGAGGUGCGAAAGCGUGGGGAGCAAAC